GAAAUGCGAUAAGUAAUGCGAAUUGCAGAAUUCAGUGAAUCAUCGAAUCUUUGAACGCACAUUGCGCCCGCUAGUAUUCUGGCGGGCAUGCCUGUCUGAGCGUCAUUUCAACCCUCGCCCCCGGCUUUUGCUGGGAGCGGUGUUGGGGAUCGGCCGCCCGUCACUGGGAGGCCGGCCCCGAAAUAGAGUGGCGACCACGCCGUGUGCUCCUCUGCGUAGUAGUAAAUCACCUCGCAGGCGGACAGCGGUGCGGCCUGCCGUAAAACCCCCAACGAGACCUCAAAUCAGGCAGGACUACCCGCUGAACUUAA
rnacentral:misc_RNA from 1 species